GUGAGGAAUUUUCCGCAAUGGGCGAAAGCCUGACGGAGCAAUGCCGCGUGAAGGAUGAAGGCCUAUGGGUUGUAAACUUCUUUUCUCAGAAAAGAAUUAUGACGGUAUCUGAGGAAUAAGCAUCGGCUAACUCUGUGCCAGCAGCCGCGGUAAGACAGAGGAUGCAAGCGUUAUCCGGAAUGAUUGGGCGUAAAGCGUCUGUAGGUUGUUUAAAAAGUAUUCUGUCAAAGAUUAGGGCUUAACCCUAGAUAGGCAGAAUAAACUUUUAAGCUAGAGUUUGGUAGAGGCAGAGGGAAUUCCCGGUGGAGCGGUGAAAUGCGUAGAUAUCGGGAGGAACACCAAAGGCGAAGGCACUCUGCUGGGCCAAUACUAACACUGAGAGACGAAAGCGAGGGGAGCAAAUUGGAUUAGAAACCCUAGUAGUCC
rnacentral:rRNA from 1 species